rnacentral:ncRNA from 1 species
AAAAGUUUUGGUCCUAAACUUGCCAUUGUUUUUUAACCAAAAUUACACAUGCAAGCCUCCACCAACCAGUGAGAAUGCCCACGAACCCCUGAACAGAAAGCCGGAGCAGGUAUCAGGCUCAACGACACGGCCAACGACACCUUGCCAUGCCACACCCACACGGGCCUUCAGCAGUGAUUAACAUUAAAUUAUAAGCGCAAGCUUGACUUGGUUAUGGUUAAUAAAGCCGGUAAAUUUCGUGCCAGCCACCGCGGUUAUACGAAAGACUUAAAACAAUGCCCUGCGGCGUAAAGCGUGGCCAGAGCUCUACCACACACCUAAAGAAAAACCGCCACCAAGCCGUAAAACGCCCAAACGAGCGAGAACCAACACACAAUCCUUAGGCCAAAGGCCGCUUGACCCACGAAAGCUAAGAAACAAACUGGGAUUAGAUACCCCACUAUGCUUAGCCCUAAACACAGACAACACAAAUACAAUAUUGUCCGCCAGAGAACUACAAGCGAAAAACUCAAAACUCCAAGGACUUGGCGGUGCUCCAUAUCAACCUAGAGGAGCCUGUCCUAUAAUCGAUACCCCACGCUAAACCCCACCAUCUUUUGCCCCUCAGCCUAUAUACCGCCGUCGCCAGCCUACCUUAUGAAAGAAGAACAGUAAGCAAAACAGUUAACAGCAAGCACGUCAGGUCAAGGUGUAGCACACAAGAUGGAAGAGAUGGGCUACAUUCUCUGCCACAGAGCAUACGAAUGGCACAAUGAAACACGAACCUAAAGGUGGAUUUAGUAGUAAGAUGAAUAAGCAACACCAUCUUAAACCCGCUCUGGAGCGCGCACACACCGCCCGUCACCCUCAUCAU